rnacentral:rRNA from 1 species
UACGUAGGGCGCAAGCGUUGUCCGGAAUUAUUGGGCGUAAAGAGCUCGUAGGCGGCUUGUCACGUCGGGUGUGAAAGCCCGGGGCUUAACCCCGGGUCUGCAUUCGAUACGGGCAGGCUAGAGUGUGGUAGGGGAGAUCGAAUUCCUGGUGUAGCGGUGAAAUGCGCAGAUAUCAGGAGGAACACCGGUGGCGAAGGCGGUUCUCUGGGCAUUACCUGACGCUGAGGAGCGAAAGUGUGGGGAGCGAACAGG